rnacentral:rRNA from 1 species
AUGACACCGACCCUGAGACCUGCAGGUACAACCAUCGACCGGGUGUCAGACUUAAUUGUCAGUGAUCUUUGGUCGUGGAAACAUGAAGUGGUGAGGAACACUUUCACCGCCCAGGAUGCCGCUGCCAUCCUCAACAUCCCGAUCAGGUAGGGCGGGGGUGAAGAUUUUUUCGCAUGGGCAUUUGAUAAAUCAGGGAACUACACUGUUAAGACGGCGUACCGCGCUCUAGUGACUCAGACUGAGCUUUUGUCUCAAGAGGAAGGGGCGGCUACCGAAGCUUCAACGGACGACCAACAGCUGUGGAAAUCUCUGUGGAAAUUGUCUGUUAUUCCCAAAGUGAGAGUUUUU